UACGUAGGGGGCAAGCGUUGUCCGGAUUUAUUGGGCGUAAAGAGCGUGUAGGCGGCCAGAUAGGUCAGCUGUGAAAACUCGAGGCUCAACCUCGAGACGUCGGUUGAAACCAUCUGGCUAGAGUCCGGAAGAGGAGAGCGGAAUUCCCGGUGUAGCGGUGAAAUGCGCAGAUAUCGGGAAGAACACCCGUGGCGAAGGCGGCUCUCUGGGACGGUACUGACGCUGAGACGCGAAAGCGUGGGGAGCGAACAGG
rnacentral:rRNA from 1 species